rnacentral:rRNA from 1 species
GAUGAACGCUGGCGGCGUGCCUAAUACAUGCAAGUCGAGCGAACAGACGAGGAGCUUGCUCCUGUGACGUUAGCGGCGGACGGGGGAGUAACACGUGGAUAACCUACCUAUAAGACUGGGCUAACUUCGGGAAACCGGAGCUAAUACCGGAUAAUAUAUUGAACCGCAUGGUUCAAUAGUGAAAGACGGUUUUGCUGUCACUUAUAGAUGGAUCCGCGCCGCAUUAGCUAGUUGGUAAGGUAACGGCCUACCAAGGCAACGAUGCGUAGCCGACCUGAGAGGGUGAUCGGCCACACUGGAACUGAGACACGGUCCAGACUCCUACGGGAGGCAGCAGUAGGGAAUCUUCCGCAAUGGGCGAAAGCUUGACGGAGCAACGCCGCGUGAGUGAUGAAGGUCUUCGGAUCGUAAAACUCUGUUAUUAGGGAAGAACAAAUGUGUAAGUAACUAUGCACGUCUUGACGGUACCUAAUCAGAAAGCCACGGCUAACUACGUG